UACGAAGGGGGCUAGCGUUGCUCGGAAUCACUGGGCGUAAAGGGUGCGUAGGCGGGUCUUUAAGUCAGGGGUGAAAUCCUGGAGCUCAACUCCAGAACUGCCUUUGAUACUGAAGAUCUUGAGUUCGGGAGAGGUGAGUGGAACUGCGAGUGUAGAGGUGAAAUUCGUAGAUAUUCGCAAGAACACCAGUGGCGAAGGCGGCUCACCUGCCCGAUACUGACGCUGAGGCACGAAAGCGUGGGGAGCAAACAGG
rnacentral:rRNA from 1 species